GACGUAGGGGGCCAGCGUUGCUCGGAAUUACUGGGUGUAAAGGGUUCGUAGGCGGUGUGGCAAGUCGGGAGUGAAAUCUCUGGGCUCAACCCAGAGUCUGCUUCCGAAACUGCUGUGCUUGAGUGUGGGAGAGGCGCGUGGAAUUGCAGGUGUAGCGGUGAAAUGCGUAGAGAUCGGAAAGAACACCAACGGCGAAAGCACUCUGCUGGGCCGACACUGACACUGAGAGACGAAAGCUAGGGGAGCGAAUGGG
rnacentral:rRNA from 1 species